rnacentral:rRNA from 1 species
GAUGAACGCUAGCUACAGGCUUAACACAUGCAAGUCGAGGGGAAACGACAUCGAAAGCUUGCUUUUGGUGGGCGUCGACCGGCGCACGGGUGAGUAACGCGUAUCCAACCUGCCCACCACUUGGGGAUAACCUUGCGAAAGUAAGACUAAUACCCGAUGAUAUCUCUAGACGACAUCUGAAAGGGAUUAAAGAUUUAUCGGUGAUGGAUGGGGAUGCGUCUGAUUAGCUUGUUGGCGGGGUAACGGCCCACCAAGGCAACGAUCAGUAGGGGUUCUGAGAGGAAGGUCCCCCCANAUUGGAACUGAGACACGGUCCAAAACUCCUACGGGAGGCAGCAGUGAGGAAUAUUGGUCAAAUGGGGCGAGAGCCUGGAACCAGCCAAGUAGCGUGCAGGACGACGGCCCUAUGGGUUGUAAACUGCUUUUAUAGGGGGAUAAAGUGUGCCACGUGUGGCAUAUUGCAGGUACCCUAUGAAUAAGGACCGGCUAAUUCCGUGCCAGCAGCCG